UCUCAUUUCCAGAGGAAAAGGUGGAGCCAGAGUUCAUCAUAUUUCUCUAUCAGCUGAUUGAAGGCGCAGCUGCCAGAAGCUAUGAGCUAAGUGUAGCAUGUCUGGCUGAAAUCCCAGUCCAUCCUCAGGACUGCUGCAUUCAAAUCCAAAGAGUUGGAGGCUCUCGUGAACAGCCGGAGACAUACAGUAGUAAAAUGGUGAGAGUGUUAUCUGAUGCCUGGAGUAUUAUCAACAAGAAGCAAUGCUGGACUGGAGAAAGUGUAGUCUCUAAUAAUAGCAUGAUGGUUUUUGCCUGUUUGAUGAUGGUCGGAAAAAAACAUUAAACAAACAGGAACUGAAUAUCACGUAUUUAAAUACAUAAUGUAUUACAUCACCUGUUUUAACAUUAACUCAUAACAGUAGAUCUUACAACUAUGAGUGAUGUCUUAAUAAAGACAUUUAUCCAGG